GCAAGUCAGUGGUCUAGACUUGAGCGGUUUCAAUGCCUGCUAUAUCACUCUACGGGCAUGGAAACUGGAUGGUAGAUGUACUGAACUUUCUGUCAAAGCACAUGCAUUGAAGGGUCAACAGUGUGUACAUUGCCGGCUUGUGGUUGGGGAUGGUUUUGUUACAAUAACAAGAGGGGAAAGCAUUAGGAGGUUCUUUGAGCAUGCUGAAGAGGCUGAAGAAGAAGAGGAUGAGGAUUCCAUGGACAAGGAUGGAAAUGAACUAGAUGGUGAAUGCUCUCGUCCUCAAAAACAUGCCAAGAGUCCUGAACUUGCUCGGGAAUUUCUUCUAGAUGCCGCAACU
rnacentral:misc_RNA from 1 species